CUCGAUGAUGAUAUAAUCCAUGUAAUAUGAGGUGUAGUGGAUCCAAGUCCUUGUUAUUUGCAAGGUGAACCUCUUGGUGAAGCUACAUUACAAAUGAUCAUACUGGAUUCGUCUGAG
rfam:Capsicum annuum cultivar Zunla-1 chromosome 10, whole genome shotgun sequence